GAAGAAAGGAAAUCGCAGCCAUACGGGCUACGCUCCCGCGGCUGAACUGUAUCUGCAUUUUGUAACGGUGGGAGAAAAAGACGCUAUAUGGCGAUGUGCUCCUCCCUCUAGCCCUGCCAACCUCAUCUGUCAGCCAUUAGUUAAUCAGCGCCCGUAACACAGAACGCAGAGAGCUGGCAUGGCUCGUGGGACCAGAGGACAGAUUCACCUCUGAGAGCAAGAAGAGGGCAAGGACUCAGAGACCUCUGCUUCACCGAUCUACAGCUGGGCUGCUUCACUCAGCAGCACUCACUCAGAGCGUCAGUGUCAUUCUGCCUAGGACCGGCAGCCUGCAGCUCCGACAUGACUCCACCUACUGCUCUGCUGUUAACAGGUAAGCCAACAAGACACAUGGAAACUUUUAGACAUCCAAGAGAAACUCCACUGGGGUUUAAAUAUCUGUCACUCAGCCAAUAUGGUAAUCAAAGCAGCUAACACUGUUUAAUACCUCACAGAGAGGAGCAGAAUUCCCCCCCGAAACCGACGAACCCUUUUGGCUUGGAUCAACACGGCUUUGUCUGAUUACUGAUCGCUACGGCCUCAAGCAGUUCGUGAAAACAUUAAUUACUGUGAAAGCUAUAAUAAAAGUCCUUUUGUUUGGGGAUAAAGAUGAACUGAGUGUUUUGAAAAUAACGGUUUAUCUCGGGGGCUCAAAAAAAUCAAACAGAUGCUCUCAAACAUCCCAAUGAGGGCUCUGCCAAAUGUCGGAUGAGUGAUAAAGAUAUCUGUUUAACAUUAUUGUUUGACAUGUUGGUUUAUUCCUAAAUGUCAUGUUUUUUUUUUUAUGAUCUAAUAUGGUACCCGGAGGAACAAUGAAACAUCAGCUGAAAGGACUACAGCCAGGUUAGUGACAUACCAGGAACGUUUACAAGAGAUGAUGCAUCAUUAGGUGCAGAGUGAAGGCUGCUAAAAGGCACUUUUUGACCAUGCAUUUCAUAUUAUUCUAUGUUUCCAAUAUUUAGUGAUUCUAAGCGAGACCAUAUCUCAAAAUGUCAGAGCCAAGGUCGAAUUCCAAUCACACUGCAGCACGUUUGCAAUGCAAGAGGGUGGUAAUACUGAGCAUAUGGUAACUGUAGUUGCAUAGAAUCUUCAAAGGAGCACAGUGUUGACCCGGAGCAAGAACAAACUUGCAAGUGCAGACUGUGAAGGGAGUGUAGAAUUAUACCCUGGGCUACAUGUUGUCAAGGCUGUGAGAUACAGAGUGCUCAAACCAAGAUAAAUGCUCUUUCGCAUCAACCACGCUCACGCAAAAUACUGAUUCAUCUGCACGCUAAAGUCAAGCAAGGUAGUAAGCAAGUAGUAACAGUUGGAAGCUGAACGCGCUGUAAGAUAACAUCAUGUCUCUUGUUUUAUCAGUGUCACCGUGUUCUCUGGCACAUUGAUUACACUGCAAAUGACAGAAACAAGGAGGCGAGAAGGAGGAACCUGACAGAGGAUUCAGGCUACUUUUCUGAGGGAGGUUUUAUACAACACAUGUCAACACGGGAACAGCUGGUGCGAGCGGCGUCAUGGGGCAGAGGAAUGUCAAGAGCCAUAGAUCUUUUAUCCAUCAGGCCAAAAUGGCCACCGAAAUGUGUUUCAAACUGCGCACAGGAGCAGUGUGAAGUCCUAACAUUUACACGUCCAAAACAGCUCAUGCUAAUCGUCACUCGCUUUAUCGAUCUAAAAGUCUUGAAAUAUGGUUGGAAAUACAGACAUAACACGACAAAAUUCAAAGUACAUGCAAAUUUAUUCGCUUGAUAUGAUGAAUUUCAGAUGUGACAAGUUGAUUUUGCCGUAUUAUUCAUCCCAGGACGGGACUGAUUGUAAGAUGUGGAAAUAAUUUCCUGUCUCUGUCAUUGCAGUUCCUGACAGACAGUCAGCUGCAGGAGCUGCAGUCGACUUCUGAUUGGCCAAAAAAAGUAGGACUUUGCCAUCUUUAAGGAGUUCAAAUAAACAACCGGUUGAGUAGGCAUAUACAGUUUCUUCAACACGGUUUCCUUUUUAAGUCAACACCACUCAGAAAAGACACACCGAGCGACCGUAAGUCAAAACGAAAUGACAAAACAGCAGAGUUAUUCCGCCUGUCUAAACAUUCCACUAAGAGCUUUUUCCAUGUUGUACUGAAACAUCCAGCGCCGCUCAAGACUGUGCUGCAGAUGUUGGGAAUGAAGAAUUACUGUAGAAAAGAUAGAAGAAGAAAAAAAGAAGCUGAUUCUUGAUGAUAGAACUUGAAAAACACAAACAGCCGACCAGCCCAGAGUUAUAAAGUGGUGACCUUUGACACGGGACGUUCAAGUCUAACUCCCUCUUCCUGCUAAAUGUUACACAGCUGCUUUUCUAAUCCGUCACAGCAACCAGCUUGCCACCACUUGCAUGGAGGGUAUGUAAGUAUGGAAAAGGAACAUCCUGACCUUACAUUGACAUUUACAAGAAAAAAGAAAUGCAAAUUUAAAGCAAAUCUAGAAAAAAGGAGACUGGUAUAGUUUUAAAUUGUUGUUGAAAUAGAAAUGUAAGAAAAAAUGGAGGAAAAUCAACACUUGCUAUGCUUUUGUCUCAUUAUCACCUUCACAGGCAGAACACUAUGUACAAUAUUCAAUUCAUAGCAACAUUAUGUACAGCCCUUUGGUAUUUGAGUGCACAUCUCAUUUGUUUGCCAAAAAUGUAGUUGUUUUUUGUCCACCCCUAACCCUUUCUUCCACACUCUGCUAAACGCCUGUUUUCUGAUCUCAGCAAAGUCCAUGGAUUGUGCCAAGUCUUGACGUAAGACAAAUGUCUCCCUUUAUCGGUGAAAAAACAAAUAAAUAAACUGACAUUCUUAACGGACCCUUCAAGCACACCUACAAAAGAUGCUUAACUUAACAUCAAAUAAUAAACAUCAGGGUCUGGUUUCAGACCACAGACCAACCAGUUCCCAUAGAGGUAAACAUUUAGCCAAAAGAAAAAAACCAUGGCGGCAAACAAAAGAUAGAGGUAAUGGUAGUAGCAGUUAGUGAUUACUCAGGUGAUAUGCUGCCCCCUAUUUGUUUGGAAUAUAAAUUCCACAGGUAGCCAACUCUUACAUACUGCACCUUUAACCAGGUAGUUGAUGGACAGAACAUUUAACGGCAAUCCUUUUGACAAUUGCUUAAUAAAGUCAAAAUUUAGCCUGGACUCGGAACUGAAAGGAACAUUUUCACUAUCUAUGGACCCAACAAUGGAUCAGGCAGUCAGUUGCAGCCCAAAAAACAUACAGUGCACAAAUACUGAAGCAUCGAUUUUUCCUUUAAUUGCUGGUGUAUUUGAGCAGCCAGGAGAGAAGGGACUCAAGAAAUAAGACUGCAUGAAGAGUGCAUCAGGCACUGACAGACAUACUGCCAACACAGAUCAGCAAACCAUGAGAAACAGACCUGACAGGUAACUCAAAUACUACUAUUCACUCAAAUACUACGAUGCAAGCACGGCUACAUCCCUAACACUCCCUAAAACGUCACACAUGUAACUUGCAUGUUGAAGUUGAAAUGAACCUGUCCAUUUGCUCCCCCGUUACUUAAAGUGGGCUGGGACACCCAAUCUAUCACUGUCUCUCCCAUACCAGAGAGAAAAAGCCCUCUUGACAGAGAUGUCGAGUCCCACAGACUCCAUUUCACUCCAUCAACUUGAUAGCAUCGACAGGCCCAAACAGAACCAGGCCCCAUCAAGUCUGACAUGGUAGCCUCACGUGAGAAGAAUAUACAUCUAAGUGAAGGCUAAGAAGCGACUCCUAGAGGCCUAAAAGCACUUUAUAAUACUUGACGAGUUGAGGAAAAGCAGGCGCUCUCUUCUUGUGUCAAAGUAAGGCCAUGUUCCCUAUCAUUCGAUGAGCCUGGGGUGGACCAGCCUAAAUGCUUCCAGACUUUCACACCCCGUCUCCCUUAAUUUCAUCCCACCGCAUCUGCUCCCAACUCAGAUCACCGAUAAAAUAACAUCUAGCCUUACUGGAUGGGCUCCGUUCUUAAUUUUCUCCCAUUGCCUGGCUCUCACUGUGGUUUGGAGUCAAAUUCGUACUACCUCACAUACCGCUAUUCUGCCACAGGGACAGUAUCAAUGUCUUUUAGAGGUUCAGUGUGUAGGAUAGUUGAUUGUACAGUCUCAUUCACAGCUCGUCAAAUACCGAAACUUUGAGUUGGUGGCAAGUCUGACCUACCAACCUGAAGCAUCAGUAUUUGACAAUCCCGAUGGCAAACAGAAGCAUUGAGGAUGUAAGCCCAACAAACAGAAGUUACAUAGCAUUUGCUGAUUGGUAAGAAGUUAUCAAGACAUAUGUGUGCUAUUGGUGGGGUUGGGAUUAACACCCAACUAUCUUUGACCUUUAACGGUUCCCUGGGCUACAAUAAAUUACAAUAAAUAUGUUUAUGCAACUGCUGGCAAAGAAAAAUCUGACCUAAAAAGAGACAUCCAUUCCUAAUGUCCUUAUGCCAAGCUGAGAGCCAAAUAUUUUAAAUCUUCAGAUAGCAUCUUACACCAUCUGGUUGUUCUGCCUCCCAAGUCCGUAUGGUUUGCCAAGAUCUGUGGGCCAUAGUCCUUGACUUGUAACCAGCAAAUCAUCGACUGAACUAUUUAGCUUUCUCUCAAAGGCCGAAAUGAAACAUUAUCCCCCUACUCAGAUUUAAAUUAAAGCCAUGACAAGAACCAUGCUUUUAUGUGUGUGUGUGUGUAGGGGGGGGGGCUCAAUUUCGAUUGCUCACACUCGACUGGCAUGUGGGCAGGAUCAGGAAAGACAAGCCCAACGAUGUCACGACCACCUGACCCCAGGGUGACAGGUUUGGAGUAUGUUCAUGCCAAAUGCCCUCAGGCCAAAGUCAAGUAUGUCAAUGCUAUGCAUGUGGAUUUCAUUUAAAGCAGCGUGAUUAGCUCACAGACGCUCAGCUGCGAUCCCCCUCCAUGGGAAACCCUCUCUCAACAGGAAAUGGUAUGUUUUUGUUAGCAACAAACAGGCAUAAAUUACUAAAAUGGUACCUCGGUUGCCAAUUUAUCACACACAGUCUUAUUGUUGCUGCUCGCACACGUUUGACAUUGACAUCGCUUUUAAGGUAAUCACCGUUAGUUAAUGAUAUUUACCUUCCUGAUAAUUUAUGUUUAACUAUGUGUCUGUGAUCCUGAAUUUGUGCAAUAAAUGUGAUAAUUGUUUCGUGUCUUUUCUUUUUUUUUAUACAUGAUGAAUGUGUUUUAUUGACCUGUUUUUCAAAAAUGAAUGUUGUUUUGACAACAAUUAAUACUCAAGCUGUCACUGCAAUAUUAAAAUGAUUGAGAGUCUAAAGGGGGGAAAUAGGGCAGGUUAUUAUAGUGCAGGGACAAACUAAUUAAAGAUGUGUUCAAUCAGAACAGUUGCUUUCGGAUAUUGUGUCCUUGUACAGCCGAAUGCCAACAUAAAAUGUUACUCAUCUUGACUGGGGAGCAAUGCAAAUCUGUGAAUAUUGUAGUAUACCACCAUUUAUCAAGCCAUUUCCCUAUUCACAAGUCUUUAAGUUAAUUUUCAGGAUGUUCAGCUUUGUCUUAAACAUGAGUAAAGUUAAAUAUUGAAGAAAUAAAUCAGCUAGAAUGCCUCACACGUAAUUGGUACAGUGGGAUAAUAAAGGUCUGAAUUACAUUCCAAUAAGGGAUUAAAUAAUAGUUUGAGAGAAUUUAUGAGAGAUUAUAGAGAAUGUGUAUUUUCAUAAGAAUAUAUCUGAUUGAUAAAAUCAUCUUAAUGACAUGAACCAGGAUUUCACUCUGGAGCUAAUCCUGCCAGCUGACGUGAUUGAUUUUAUUAAGCAUAGUGAAAUAAUUGGGGGAAACUACCGACAGAAGAGGCCAUUAAAUAAGGUAAGACAACCUUUGAAACCCUGAGAAAUAUUUUUACGGUGUUAAGUGAAGAAAAAGUCAAUUUUAUGAGGCAGGGGGUCAAUAUUUGAUUUUUGGAUCUGUUAAAAAAUUGGCAUUAAGUCUGUCCUGUGAUGUACAAAAGAGGUCACAUGUGUGAGAAUGAUUCGAAAAUCAAUAUUAGCCUCUGAUUUAAGUUUACUUAUUUUGAUAAGCACUUGAUGCCUUAAGGCUACACUGUUGCUUUAUAUGGAGUUAUAUAAAUGAAUGUGUCACUGCAGUUGUUAAAUUAGAGAUUUCUUACUACAGAAACAGUAACGUGGUCUAUUUGAGUUGCUUACAGCAUUUGGUAAUGUAUUUACUUGAAUUAAUAAACUAUUUGAGUGUACCGCCUUA